rnacentral:rRNA from 1 species
GACGAACGCUGGCGGCGUGCCUAACACAUGCAAGUCGAGCGGAGUCGAUCGACGGAAGCCUUCGGGCGGAAGAUGGUUGACUUAGCGGCGGAUGGGUGAGUAACGCGUGGGCAACCUGCCUCGAAGACCGGGAUAACAGCCCGAAAGGGCUGCUAAUACCGGAUGUGGUCAAGGAUCCGCAUGGAUUUUUGAUUAAAGGGGAAACCCGUUUCGAGAUGGGCCCGCGUCCUAUCAGCUAGUUGGUGAGGUAAAAGCUCACCAAGGCGACGACGGGUAGCCGGCCUGAGAGGGUGACCGGCCACACUGGAACUGAGACACGGUCCAGACUCCUACGGGGGGCAGCAGUGGGGAAUCUUCCACAAUGGGCGAAAGCCUGAUGGAGCGACGCCGCGUGAGCGAAGAAGGCCUUCGGUUGUAAAGCUCUGUCUGGAGGGACGAAGGAAGUGACGGUACCUCCGGAGGAAGCCACGGCUAACUACGUG